rnacentral:rRNA from 1 species
GACGGAGGAUGCAAGUGUUAUCCGGAAUCACUGGGCGUAAAGCGUCUGUAGGUGGUUUCAAAAGUCCACUGUUAAAGAUUGAAGCUUAACUUCAAAAAUGCCGUGGAAACUUUGAAACUUGAGUAUGAUAGGGGUAGAGGGAAUUCCCAGUGUAGAGGUGAAAUUCGUAGAGUAUUGGGAAGAACACCGGUGGCGAAGGCGGCCGAACCUGGUCCUUGACUGGACGAGGUGCG